UACGGAGGGUGCGAGCGUUGUCCGGAAUCAUUGGGCGUAAAUGGCGCGUAGGUGGCCCGGUCAGUCUUUGGUGAAAGCGCGGGGCUCAACCCUGCGUCGGCCAGGGAUACUGCCGCGGCUCGAGCACUGUAGAGGCAGGCGGAAUUCCGGGUGUAGCGGUGGAAUGCGUAGAGAUCCGGAAGAACACCGGUGGCGAAGGCGGCCUGCUGGGCCGUUGCUGACGCUGAGGCGCGACAGCGUGGGGAGCAAACAGG
rnacentral:rRNA from 1 species